UGGCGGACGGGUGAGUAACGCGUGGGUAACCUGCCUCAUACAGGGGGAGUAACAGUUAGAAAUGACUGCUAAUACCGCAUAAGCGCACAAAACCGCAUGGUUUGGUGUGAAAAACUGAGGUGGUAUGAGAUGGACCCGCGUCUGAUUAGCUAGUUGGGGAGGUAACGGCUCACCAAGGCAACGAUCAGUAGCCGACCUGAGAGGGUGACCGGCCACAUUGGGACUGAGACACGGCCCAAACUCCUACGGAAGGCAGCAG
rnacentral:rRNA from 1 species